rnacentral:rRNA from 1 species
UGGGGAAUUUUGGACAAUGGGCGCAAGCCUGAUCCAGCAAUGCCGCGUGCAGGAUGAAGGCCUUCGGGUUGUAAACUGCUUUUGUACGGAACGAAACGGCUCUGGUUAAUACCUGGGGCUAAUGACGGUACCGUAAGAAUAAGCACCGGCUAACUACGUGCCAGCAGCCGCGGUAAUACGUAGGGUGCGAGCGUUAAUCGGAAUUACUGGGCGUAAAGCGUGCGCAGGCGGUGAUGUAAGACAGAUGUGAAAUCCCCGGGCUCGACCUGGGACCUGCAUUUGUGACUGCAUCGCUGGAGUGCGGCAGAGGGGGAUGGAAUUCCGCGUGGAGCAGUGAAAUACGUAGAUAUGCGGAGGAACACCGAUGGCGAAGGCAGCCUCCUGGGCAAGUACUGACGCUCAUGAACGAAAGCGUGGGGAGCAAACA